rnacentral:rRNA from 1 species
AAAAAAAAGAGUUUGAUCUUGGCUCAGAAUCAACGCUGGCGGCGUGCCUAACACAUGCAAGUCGAGCGAGAAAAGGUAGCAAUACCCUAGUAAAGCGGCGCACGGGUGAGUAACACGUGGAUAACCUGCCUCGAAGUGGGGAAUAACACCGGGAAACCGGUGCUAAUACCGCAUAAUCUGACGAGAUCUGUGGAUUUUGUCAGCAAAGGAGCAAUUCGCUUUGAGAGGGGUCCGCGGCUGAUUAGCUAGUUGGUGAGGUAAUGGCUCACCAAGGCCACGAUCAGUAGCCGGUCUGAGAGGACGGUCGGCCACACUGGAACUGAGACACGGUCCAGACUCCUACGGGAGGCAGCAGUGGGGAAUUUUUCGCAAUGGGGGCAACCCUGACGAAGCAACGCCGCGUGGGUGAUGAAGUAUUUCGGUACGUAAAACCCUUUCGACGGGGACGAAACCGCAAGGUUGACGGUACCCGUAGAAGAAGCCCCGGCUAACUCCGUGCCAGCAGCCGCCGU